rnacentral:rRNA from 1 species
AAGGAGGAGGCGAGCGUUAAGAGGAUGAAAAGGGUUUAAAGGGUGCGUAGGCGGACUAUUAAGUCAGUGGUGAAAUCCUGCAGCUUAACUGCAGAACUGCCAUUGAUACUGAUAGCCUUGAGUUUGGUUAAGGUAGGCGGAAUGUGUAAUGUAGCGGUGAAAUGCUUAGAUAUUACACAGAACACCAAUUGCGUAGGCAGCUUACUGAGCCGACACUGACGCUGAGGCACGAAAGCGUGGGGAUCGAACAG